rnacentral:rRNA from 1 species
UACGGGAGGCAGCAGUGGGGAAUAUUGCACAAUGGGCGCAAGCCUGAUGCAGCCAUGCCGCGUGUAUGAAGAAGGCCUUCGGGUUGUAAAGUACUUUCAGUCGUGAGGAAGGUGUUAAGGUUAAUAACCUUAGCAAUUGACGUUAGCGACAGAAGAAGCACCGGCUAACUCCGUGCCAGCAGCCGCGGUAAUACGGAGGGUGCGAGCGUUAAUCGGAAUUACUGGGCGUAAAGGGCACGCAGGCGGUUAAUUAAGUUGGAUGUGAAAUCCCCGGGCUUAACCUGGGAAUGGCAUUCAAGACUGGUUAGCUAGAGUCUUGUAGAGGGGGUAGAAUUCCAUGUGUAGCGGUGAAAUGCGUAGAGAUGUGGAGGAAUACCGGUGGCGAAGGCGGCCCCUGGACAAAGACUGACGCUCAUGUGCGAAAGCGUGGGGAGCGAAACG